CCGGCACGGGUGAGUAACACGUAUCCAACCUGCCGUCUACUCUUGGCCAGCCUUCUGAAGGAAGAUUAAUCCAGGAUGGCAUCAUGAGUUCACAUGUCCGCAUGAUUAAAGGUAUUUUCCGGUAGACGAUGGGGACGCGUUCCAUUAGAUAGUAGGCGGGGUAACGGCCCACCUAGUCUACGAUGGAUAGGGGUUCUGAGAGGAAGGUCCCCCACAUUGGAACUGAGACACGGUCCAA
rnacentral:rRNA from 1 species